UACGGGGGGGGGCAAGCGUUGUUCGGAAUUACUGGGCGUAAAGGGCGCGUAGGCGGUUCGCUAAGUUGAAUGUGAAAACUCUGGGCUUAACCCAGAGCCUGCAUUCAAUACUGGCGGGCUAGAGUUCUGGAGGGGAUAGCGGAAUUCCUGGUGUAGCGGUGAAAUGCGUAGAUAUCAGGAGGAACACCGGUGGCGAAGGCGGCUAUCUGGACAGUUCCUGACGCUGAGGCGCGAAGGCCAGGGGAGCAAACGGG
rnacentral:rRNA from 1 species